UUCUAUAAAUUGCGUAUAGUUAAUCUUUUAUUUUUGCAAUGUCUAUUUCAGCUUUCCACUAGUGGCAGUGCCUCAUAUCCACAUCACAAUGUUGGUCGUGUGGAGCAGUGUGGGGCAACCACUUUUCGUGGAAAGCUGGUUUCUAUAGUCUAUUUUUAGCUUUUAAAUGCCGAAAUAUGGGAAAAUUAAAUAUUUGAUUUUUUUUUAAAAAAAAAAA
rnacentral:misc_RNA from 1 species